rnacentral:rRNA from 1 species
AGUGAUCCUACGGGAGGCAGCAGUGAGGAAUCUUGCGCAAUGGGCGAAAGCCUGACGCAGCCAUGCCGCGUGAAUGAUGAAGGUCUUAGGAUUGUAAAAUUCUUUCACCGGGGACGAUAAUGACGGUACCCGGAGAAGAAGCCCCGGCUAACUUCGUG